GUGAACCUCUAGGGGUUGUAAUAAAAGAAACAACCACUAACAAGUCAGUUACCUCAACAUCUGACUUGUGAACCUCUAGGGGUUGUAAAAAAGAAACAACCAUUAACAAGUCAGUUACCUUAACAUUAAUUGAUAAGACGGAGAUAUAUUACUCCUAUAAACGGUGCCCCGUUUACCCUCCUUACAUGUCCCGUCAUAUAAUAGACGGAGGAAUUGCUUAGCUAAGCGGCCCUAACAUUCUCACUUAAAUCUAUCAAUCAUUUAAAUAAGUAUAUGGUAAAGACACUAACUUAAAAGAAAUUUCACAUCAACAUUCAUUGAACAUUACGAUUAAUGAACAAAUUAGAAUUCAAACUUCACAUCUCAUUCACUUUAAUUCCAUCAUUUCGAUCUAUAUCAUUUUUCUAAUCAUAUUAACAAGUAUCCAUAUCAUUGAACAAACAAGAAAGUCCAUCUUAACAUAUCAUUCCCUUCAAUCCACAAUAACAUUUAAUCAUAAUUAUUUCUUAUGCAUUUCAAUACUUACCUUAUUGUUCCACAUUCAGUUAGCGUCGAUCUAUUUGAUAUACUACUUCAAUUCUUAGUCAAAAGUUGCUACAUACAUAGUCCUCCUCAAGUCAUUAAGAUCAAUGUUGAGUAAAUUGAGUUAUAUCAUCACAUGAUAAGGAUACAAUGGCCAUACAUCAUACCUUAUUCACUUAUCACUAACAUAGGGAAAUUAUAUUUAAUCUUGCACCUAUUAUCAUUAUAACAUAAUACUUUGACAUUAAACUCGUCAAGCAACUUGUGUGCAUGUGAUUUUACACAAACAGUCCUAAACAUCUUAUUUUUCAAUAGUCAGACCUCAAAUUCGACAAUUUAAUUAAAAUAUCAAAUGAUGUCGGAUUUGAGUAAAUAAACACUUUUUAGAAAGCUUAGGAUGUGUAGAUUAUAAAUAUGAGUCUUAUUUUUCAUGAUAGUCAUCCAAUUAUUUCAGUUUAUUAGAUUAAGGUACCGAAAUACAAAAUAUGACAGCAACUUUUGUCUCAUUUUGUAACACAAUUUCAACUACCAUCCUUUAGUUAAUUACCAUGAAAAUUGAGUGUAAAAUGAAGGGAAACGAGUCUACUUUCCAACAAAAUCAGAAUUACUUAAAAAGGAUGUAUAAAUUGAAAGUUAUGAACAAAACAGUAGCAUGAUGUCAAAAUACGGGAUUGCAGAUUUAUACCAAAAAAUUACAACUUUCAACAUGCAACAACAUCAAUUUCUUAGAACUAAUAUGCAUGCAUUAUGACCUACAUACAUAAACUAAAAUUUCCAAUUUUCAUAAUCAAAAUCAUAAUCAAUGCAUGAGGGAUGAGGGAAAGGGAAACCCAC
rnacentral:lncRNA from 1 species